rnacentral:lncRNA from 1 species
UUUCAAUUUCCCUGGUAAGGACCUUAAGAAGAUUACCCAUCCCAGCAAACCUGGAAAUAAAGUAGUUCCAAUUCACAUUCGAAAAUCCAAAGUGUUGAUGCAAAACAUUCAACGUCUGUCUUGUUGAAGAUGUUCCAGAGCCUUCCUGAUACUUAGAGAGAGGUGGCAAUCUGAGCAGCCCGUCGCCUGUGCCCGCCGCGGUGACCCUCGUCCAUCCCCCGCGCCUCAGAGAC